CCGUAGGUGACCUGCGGAAGGAUCAUUAUAGUAAGGGCCUUUUGGCCCAUUACGAGAUGCAACCCUUGUCUUUUUGUGCACCUUUGUUUCCUCGGCAGCCUAGCCUGCCAACGAGGACCCCAAAAAACCCUUUUGCAAUCCUAGUAUAACAUUCUGAAAGCAAACAAUAUUAAAACUUUCAACAAUGGAUCUCUUGGCUCUGGCAUCGAUGAAGAAACGCAGCGAAAUGCGAUAAGUAGUGGUGAAUUGCAGAAUUCAGUGAAUCAUCGAAUCUUUGAACGCACAUUGCGCCCUUUGGUAUUCCUUAGGGCAUGCCUGUUCGAGCGUCAUUUACAAAUUCAAGCUCAGCUUGGUGACGGGUGUCUGUCCUGCCUUUGCGCGUGGACUCGCCUUAAAUGCAGUUGGCAGCUUGUUCCUCGGCUCUAAACGCAGCAAAAUGUGUCGAGCGUCGAGCGGACGGGCUCUCCAGUAAGCAAACCCCCACAAAUUGACCUCGGAUCAGGUAGGGAUACCCGCUGAACUUAAGCAUAUCAAUAAGCGGAGGA
rnacentral:rRNA from 1 species